rnacentral:rRNA from 1 species
GUGUCAGCAGCCGCGGUAAUACGGAAGGGGCAAGCGUUGUUCGGAAUCAUUGGGCGUAAAGGGCGCGUAGGUGGUUCUGUAUGUCUAUCGUGAAAGCGUACGGCUCAACCGUAUUUUGUCGGUAGAAACUGCAGGACUUGAGGCUGGGAGGGGCUGGUGGAAUUCCCUGUGUAGCGGUGAAAUGCGUAGAGAUGGGGGAGAACACUCGUGGCGAAGGCGGCCAGCUAGACCAGUUCUGACACUGAGGCGCGACAGCGUGGGGAGCAAACAGGAUUAGAUACCCGCGUAGUCC